rnacentral:rRNA from 1 species
UACGGAGGGUGCAAGCGUUAAUCGGAAUUACUGGGCGUAAAGCGUGCGCAGGCGGUUUGUUAAGUCCGUUGUGAAAGCCCCGAGCUCAACUUGGGAAUUGCAGUGGAUACUGGCAGGCUGGAGUACGGUAGAGGAAGGUGGAAUUCCCGGUGUAGCAGUGAAAUGCGUAGAUAUCAGGAGGAACACCUGUGGCGAAAGCGGCUCACUGGACCAUAACUGACGCUGAUGCACGAAAGCUAGGGGAGCAAACAGG